rnacentral:rRNA from 1 species
AAACGGGUGGCGUCAAGCUGCGAGCCCAGAGGAUUCAGUCGGUUAGGGUGUAGUUAAUGCGCCUGUCGCAUCAACAGGUCGGAAUAGAAUUGGACAGUCCGCUGGAAGACAGUGGGUCCUUGCCGCAAGGUGGGGAUGUGUGUGCCGGGCGGUGGCCGGAGCACGCUGUUCGUCUGUUGGACUGCCUAGCCGGUGCACUUUCUCUGUGGUGAACACCACGAUCGAUGGUACUGUCAGUCUGCUGUGGCCAAGUCGUGUUUGGUUGGUGCUAACGUGCCUACUGGAUGCGAUCACGGGCAAUGUUGGUAGUUGGCGCGGGUUUCAUUUGCUUGUUCAGGUGUGCCCGCGUGUAAUCGGCUACUGCUUGUCUUCACGGGCCCGCUUGGCAUCGUUGUAGCCGUUGUCAGGUGGUCUGGUGGGCCAUGGUGGUAUGAAUAACUGUGCAGCGCAUCGGGAUUGUCGGCCUCUAAUGCUGCAGUUGGCAUGCACGCUACAAGUGUGCGUAUAGUGGGUUGCGUUGCAGCCUGCCUGUUGUUGGGUGUGAUUGUCGUGUUGCCUGCGCAAAGUGGGCCCGGCAAUGGCCCGCGACAGGUUGGUGUUGUUGGCGUAGUCUGCUGUGUGUCGACUGUGGUGGGCCUGAUAGUCGGUGGUGUAGUGGUAGACGAGCUACCUGACCCGUCUUGAAACACGGACCAAGGAGUUUAACAUGUAUGCAAGUCAAGGGGUGGCUUACGAAACCCAAAGGCGCAAUGAAAGUAAAGCCUCAACUCGAGGUUUGGUGAGAUCCUGUCGUUUCUUGCACCGCUUUUGCUGUGUCAGCAGCAGGCAAUUAAUAAGAGCGGCGGGCGCAUCACCGGCCCGUCCCAUGAUGUGGUCAUUGGAUUGGUCUGGUUGGCUGUUCGCAGUUGGCCAGACCCGCCAGUGCGUCAUCGGGGCGGAGCAUGAGCAUACAUGUUGAGACCCGAAAGAUGGUGAACUAU